AUGUCUCUUGUAAGUGUGAAGAUGGAGGGUGUUCUGGAUGUUACGCUCUGUCUGUGUGUGUGCAAACUGAUGAGCAGCAUGCUGCUGUGUUCGUCUGUGGUCACGCACACCAUCACUGCGGUUAGUCUGUGCUGCAGCUGCCUGCUGUUAUUUACAGACCUCGCUGUCACCAUGUUUUUGCUUUACGUCUGGCUCAUGGAGUCCUCUCUGACGCCUUUUUACGUGUCUUCGGAUGUCAUAGCCCUUCGAUUCCUGCUCUUCCUUUGCCAGGCCUACGGUGUUGUGUUGCUGCUGAUGCCACCUUUGAUUGCUGUGGAGUUGUUGGUUGAUCUACUGCAUUCUCAAGAUGUGCGACUAAAGGGACAAGAUGCAAGACAGCGAGAUGCAAGUGAAUCCCUCUCUAUGAGAGUUGGCUAUUUGGGAUGUCUUCUAGCAUGGAGCGUGAGCGGGAUCUACAGCAGCCAUGACUGGACGCUGGAGCAGAUCUCAGUGGAAACCUGUCGGGAAAAAGGUGGCCAUCUUCUCACCUGCCUUCCCAGCGCUGAUGAGUUUUCCUGGGUUCUUCCUGCUGUGGUGGUCCUGUUGAGCCUGACGGGGAGCCUGGGUCUGUUCAGGAUGAAGGCGUCCAGAAGACAGCCUGACUCAUCUGAAAACACACAGACGGGCGUGAAAAAGGACUGUUUGGGCCCUGGGCUAAUGCAUAUGUCUCAAACUCUGGUUGACUCAGAAAAAACACCCAACAGCUGUGGCUUUCACAUGGCUGGGUUUGUGUAUGGUGAGCCACGAUGGAUCUGUCCUGGGAGCGGUGUCCAGUGCGCUCAACAAACCGGUUUGGCAGACAUUAUCAAGAAACAAAAGCAAUCAUCCAGCCAUGCAACAUUUGCUCAGUCCAAAACCUAUCUUCUUAUGGAUGUCACAUCAUUGGCGCUCAAAAUGGAGCAAUGUGUAUUUAACAGAACAGACCCAAAGUCUCAAAGAAGACACUGUUGGUUUCACAAAAGGGAAAGUCCCUGCUCAGGGCGAGAAAUCUUCGCAGGGUUGGUAUGCAUGGUUAUGGUUUGUGUUUUCCCCACAGCCGUCAGUGGAAAUAUUCUCCUAAUCUUUAACCUGGAGAAUUUGGUGGCGUACAGCUUGAAACUCUUAUCUCUAUCAGUCAACAGAGCACCAGUUCUGUAAUUGCUCAGGGGUGUGUGUGUGUGUGUGUGUGUGUGUGUGUGUGUUUUUAUUGCUC
ensembl:lncRNA